GCUGGGGGCGGUGGUGGCACCUACAGUCCCAGCUAUUCAGGAGGCUGAGGCAGGAGGACUGCUUGAGCCCAGGAGUUCAAGACCAGCCUGGGCAACAGAGCAGAUGCUCCCCACCA
rnacentral:sRNA from 1 species